rnacentral:rRNA from 1 species
ACCAGCAGCUGUAUCACCCUACGACUCACGAGCGGCAGCCCGCUGAAGCUCAACAGGUGUGAGCCUGGCUAGUACCUGGAUGGGAGACUCCUGGGAAAGCCAAGGCCGCUGCUAGUG